AUUGAACGCUAGCGGCAUGCCUUACACAUGCAAGUCGAACGGAGUGGCGACCGGGUGCGUAAUGUAACUGUACGUGCCCAGUCCCGGGGGAGAACUACACGAAAGCGUAGCUAAUACCGAAUCCUCUUGGAGUGGCCGAUAUCGGAUUAGCUAGUUGGUGGGGUAACGGCUCACAAAGGCGACGAUCCGUAGCUGGUUUGAGAGGACGACCAGCCACACUGGGACUGAGACACGGCCCAGACUCCUACGGGAGGCAGCAGUGGGGAAUUUUGGACAAUGGGGGAAACCCUGAUCCAGCCAUGCCGCGUGUGCGAUGAAGGCCUUCGGGUUGUAAAGCACUUUUGGCGGGGAAGCGGUACCUGCAGAAUAAGCACCGGCUAACUACGUGCCAGCAGCCGCGGUAAUAC
rnacentral:rRNA from 1 species